UUUGAAACAUUGGUUCCCGUACGAUCACCGAAGUUAAGCAACGUCGAGCCUGGUCAGUACCUAAUUGGUCGACCGAUUGGGAAUGCUAGGUACU